UAAGAAUAUUGUAGUUUAGAUUUUAGUUAAUAGAUUAGUACUUUUCAAAUAGUUUAUAGUAUUUUUACAUUGACAUUCACUUGUCAGGUUUUCUACAAUAUCUUCUCUCACAUUAUACCGCUGUCUCUCUGCGUUAUAUUUUGGACACUCGCACAGUAAAUGGACUACAGUUAGGUUUACUAAACACCGCUCGCAUUGAGGGGGAUUCUCAUUAACCAAAAGAAAUGAGUGAGUGAUGGAGGUAUGUCCUAACCUGAGCCGAUAUAUUUUUCCUAGUAUAUACCUUUCCCUAUUUGGUAGAAACAUCGGACCCACAUCCCCCUUGAACUUCUUUAAGAGCGCUUCCGAUUCUCUCCAUUGCUCAUUCCAGUUACUCCAUGUUCUAGACUUGAUUAUGGAUCGACGCGCGUUUUUUGAUAAAUCAGACAUGUUUUCGUCUGUCAGGUUCAAUUCACCCAUAAUUUCUUUAGCUCUCACCCCCAACGAUCGACAUCGAGCUAAGCGUGCACCUUCCAUUAUUUCGACCAUUCCAUGAUAGUUCGGAUGAUUGCUAUCAACCGCAACUUUCGCGUAAUAAUUGGCCACUAUUUGCUUUCUCCUAAUGGAAAGAGGUGGAAUAUUCGAUUCAACGUGGAGCGACACAGUUGGGCUUGUUGGGAAGGCACCAAGUGAAUACCUUAUUGCUAAAUUUUGGAUUUUAUCGAUCUGUCCCAACAAUGUAGCACUACAAGUGGAAUAGACAUGUGACCCGUAGUCUAUACGUGAUCGUAUCAGGGCUUUGUAUAUGUCGAGCAUUGUUUUAGGGUGGGCUCCCCAUUUAUGAUGAGCGAGCACCCUUAAGAUGUUUAAAGAUUUUCGGCAGGAUGUUACUAGGUUCUCUAUAUGUUUCGUCCAUCUUAGCUCGCUAUCAUACGUUAAACCUAAAAAUUUUAUAUUUCGUACAACAUUAAUGCUUUGAUCGUUCAUAAACAAAACUGGAUCGUAAUGUGGUCUUCGGAGUCGACAGAAAUGGACACAUUUUGUCUUCUCUUCGGACAGCACAUAUCCUACAGCAUUAGCAUUCUCUAGGAUUUUGUUUAUUGCCACUUGCAGUUUACGAGUUAUUUCACCAACCGUUUUACCUGUACAACAAAUCAUCAAAUCAUCGACAUAGAGACAUUUCUCCACUUCCUCAGCGACACCCAUGGCUAUUUCAUUAAUGGCAAUACCAAACAGGGAGCAGCUGAGUGUUGACCCCUGCGGUACCCCAUUCUCCAAAACAUGCUCGUCUGAGUAGGUGUCACCCACUCUGACCACAAAUUUUCUGUCUGACAUGAAUGAUUGUAUGAAUUUUGGCAGAUUCCCACGUAAAUUAUAUUUAAGCAUGUUUUUUAAUAUUCCGUGUCUCCAUGUCAUGUCAUACGCACCCUUUAUGUCAAAAAAGACACUGACCAGAUGCUCGCCAUUAUCGAACGCCCCCAGGAUUUGGUUGCUCAACUUGACCAGGUGGUCAAUCGUUGAUCUCCCCUUCCGAAAGCCGGUCUGAUAUGGUACGUAUAUGUUGUUUCUUUCUAAAUACGUUUGUAACCUUGUAUUAACCAUUUUUUCCAGCAGUUUGCCUAGACAAGAGGUUAAACUUAUUGGGCGAUAAUGCUGUGCUAGCAAAGGAUCUUUUCCCGGCUUCGGUAUAGGUACGACGAUGGCCUGCUUCCAUUCUGAGGGGACUACAAUGGCGAAGCAUCUGGUUAUGUAUGCCAUCCUGGCUCGGUGCGCAUGAUUUGAUGGUGCGAAUCGCAGUGUCAAAUUCUUCAAUGGUGAAUGGUUUGGUCCUUAGAAAGGUAGGAGGAUAAUUUAGGGAGCUACUAACUUUGUAGAAUUGAUCUGCAAUAAUAUUUGUUAUAUCCUGUAGAUUGUUUAUAAUUAUCCCGUUAAUGUUUCUUAAAAAUGCCGGGUAAUUGUAACCGGUUUUUCCGGUUAUUGCUCCCACCUUUUUCCAGACUUCCUUAUUGGUUGUCUCUGGUGUCAUAGUGGAUACAUAUUUUUGCCACGAAUUUCUUUGUGCCUCGAGUAUUCCUCGUCGGCACUCAGAUCUUCGUUUUUUAAAAUCUAUUAGAUUAUCCAAUGUUGGAGACCUGCGGAACCUAUUUAACGCUUUUUUCUUUAAUGAUACUUUGUUUUUUAUUUCAGGUGACCACCAUGGGACCAUUUUUCUGAUGUGACCGGGUUUUGAUUUAGGGAUGCUUGCUUCUGCAGCCUCUAAUAUAGCACUCAUUAUAGAUUGAAGAUUUGAUUCCAUCUGGUUUGGAGGGACGAGCUGCUGCGUAAAAUGUUCCCAAUCAGCUUGUUCAAUUUUAAACUUAGCUAUCGUUCUUAUCGGGGGGUUUUCACCUAGGACUGUGAUGAUUAUGGGAAAGUGAUCGCUGUGAUACAGGUCACUCUCCACCUCCCAUUUAAGCUUAGUAUGUAAGGCCGGUGAGCAUACCGACACAUCGAUGGAGUCAAAUUUCCCGGAUCUGACAUUAAAAAACGUUACAGAGCCGUCAUUUAACAAACUUAAAUUUUUAUUUUCUAUUAAGUUUAACAGGUCGUUACCUCGAGCAUCGUUUGAGCCAGAACCC